GAUGAACGCUGGCGGCGUGCCUAAUACAUGCAAGUCGAGCGAACAGACGAGGAGCUUGCUCCUCUGACGUUAGCGGCGGACGGGUGAGUAACACGUGGAUAACCUACCUAUAAGACUGGGAUAACUUCGGGAAACCGGAGCUAAUACCGGAUAAUAUAUUGAACCGCUUGGUUCAAUAGUGAAAGACGGUUUUGCUGUCACUUAUAGAUGGAUCCGCGCCGCAUUAGCUAGUCGGUAAGGUAACGGCUUACCAAGGCAACGAUGCGUAGCCGACCUGAGAGGGUGAUCGGCCACACUGGAACUGAGACACGGUCCAGACUCCUACGGGAGGCAGCAGUAGGGAAUCUUCCGCAAAGGGCGAAAGCUUGACGGAGCAACGCCGCGUGAGUGAUGAAGGUCUUCGGAUCGUAAAACUCUGUUAUUAGGGAAGAACAAAUGUGUAAGUAACUAUGCACGUCUUGACGGUACCUAAUCAGAAAGCCACGGCUAACUACGUG
rnacentral:rRNA from 1 species